UAAGGAAUAUUGGUCAAUGGACGCAAGUCUGAACCAGCCAUGCCGCGUGAAGGAUGAAGGUCCUCUGGAUUGUAAACUUCUUUUAUCUGGGACGAAAACGGGAUUUUUAUCUCAAUUGACGGUACCAGAGGAAUAAGCACCGGCUAACUCCGUGCCAGCAGCCGCGGUAAUACGGAGGGUGCGAGCGUUAUCCGGAUUUACUGGGUUUAAAGGGUGCGUGGGUGGGCUUAUAAGUCAGUGGUGAAAUCUCCGAGCUUAACUUGGAAACUGCCGUUGAUACUAUAGGUCUUGAAUUAUCUGGAGGUAAGCGGAAUAUGUCAUGUAGCGGUGAAAUGCUUAGAUAUGACAUAGAACACCAAUUGCGAAGGCAGCUUACUACAUAUAAAUUGACGCUGAGGCACGAAAGCGUGGGGAUCAAACA
rnacentral:rRNA from 1 species